rnacentral:rRNA from 1 species
CGUAUGUCACGAGCGUUAUCCGGAUUUAUUGGGCGUAAAGCGCGUCUAGGUGGUUAUGUAAGUCUGAUGUGAAAUGCAGGGCUCAACUCUGUAUUGCGUUGGAAACUGUAUAACUAGAGUACUGGAGAGGUAAGCGGAACUACAAGUGUAGAGGUGAAAUUCGUAGAUAUUUGUAGGAAUGCCGAUGGGGAAGCCAGCUUACUGGACAGAUACUGACGCUGAAGCGCGAAAGCGUAGGGUAGCAAACAGGAUU